GAUGAACGCUGGCGGCGUGCCUAAUACAUGCAAGCCGAGCGAACGGACGAGAAGCUUGCUUCUCUGAUGUUAGCGGCGGACGGGUGAGUAACACGUGGAUAACCUACCUAUAAGACUGGGAUAACUUCGGGAAACCGGAGCUAAUACCGGAUAAUAUUUUGAACCGCAUGGUUCAAAAGUGAAAGACGGUCUUGCUGUCACUUAUAGAUGGAUCCGCGCUGCAUUAGCUAGUUGGUAAGGUAACGGCUUACCAAGACAACAAUGCAUAGCCGACCUGAGAGGGUGAUCGGCCACACUGGAACUGAGACACGGUCCAGACUCCUACGGGAGGCAGCAGUAGGGAAUCUUCCGCAAUGGGCGAAAGCCUGACGGAGCAACGCCGCGUGAGUGAUGAAGGUCUUCGGAUCGUAAAACUCUGUUAUUAGGGAAGAACAUAUGUGUAAGUAACUGUGCACAUCUUGACGGUACCUAAUCAGAAAGCCACGGCUAACUACGUGCCAGCAGCCGCGGUAAUACGUAGGUGGCAAGCGUUAUCCGGAAUUAUUGGGCGUAAAGCGCGCGUAGGCGGUUUUUUAAGUCUGAUGUGAAAGCCCACGGCUCAACCGUGGAGGGUCAUUGGAAACUGGAAAACUUGAGUGCAGAAGAGGAAAGUGGAAUUCCAUGUGUAGCGGUGAAAUGCGCAGAGAUAUGGAGGAACACCAGUGGCGAAGGCGACUUUCUGGUCUGUAACUGACGCUGAUGUGCGAAAGCGUGGGGAUCAAACAGGAUUAGAUACCCUGGUAGUCCACGCCGUAAACGAUGAGUGCUAAGUGUUAGGGGGUUUCCGCCCCUUAGUGCUGCAGCUAACGCAUUAAGCACUCCGCCUGGGGAGUACGACCGCAAGGUUGAAACUCAAAGGAAUUGACGGGGACCCGCACAAGCGGUGGAGCAUGUGGUUUAAUUCGAAGCAACGCGAAGAACCUUACCAAAUCUUGACAUCCUUUGACAACUCUAGAGAUAGAGCUUUCCCCUUCGGGGGACAAAGUGACAGGUGGUGCAUGGUUGUCGUCAGCUCGUGUCGUGAGAUGUUGGGUUAAGUCCCGCAACGAGCGCAACCCUUAAGCUUAGUUGCCAUCAUUAAGUUGGGCACUCUAAGUUGACUGCCGGUGACAAACCGGAGGAAGGUGGGGAUGACGUCAAAUCAUCAUGCCCCUUAUGAUUUGGGCUACACACGUGCUACAAUGGACAAUACAAAGGGCAGCGAAACCGCGAGGUCAAGCAAAUCCCAUAAAGUUGUUCUCAGUUCGGAUUGUAGUCUGCAACUCGACUACAUGAAGCUGGAAUCGCUAGUAAUCGUAGAUCAGCAUGCUACGGUGAAUACGUUCCCGGGUCU
rnacentral:rRNA from 1 species